AGGAAGAAAAGACGAAUCUCGUCGGAAAAAACAUUUCUUGAGCGCCUCCCGACGUCGGUUGAUACGCGAUUGGCAAUUAAUCACGAUAAGAAUGAUGGUUUCCGAGCCGUCCGUUUCAAGUUACAACAAGAACUGAUUGAUUUCCGACAUUGGAAUUAUACGAUCGAACUCGUGCAAAGGUUUUCUUUGGUUUUCCUCGAAGAUAAAUGUUAUAUCCUCGCAAAAAUAAAUUCGUGAAUUCGUGAAAAUCAUAUUAAUGUAAAUAUUUUAUUGCUUUUUUUUACAAAUUUAAUACUAGUAACUAAACAAUUCUGUAUAAAUAAACGAUUUAAAGAUAAUAUAAAAAGUAAUGAUUUAUUUAAUUCAAAUCAUCAAUGAAAUUAUAUUUUAUUUCUUAAAAUAAGAUAAAAAUAUUUAUUUCUAAAAAAACUAUUUAUGCUAAAAAAUUAAAUUUAAAUCGCAGCUUUGUCAACAUGUAGAUAUUAGUCGGAAAAUAUUUUGGUCCCUUCAAAUCUCUGUAGUAGGUUGCUUCAAAUCUCUGUAGUAGGUUAUCGAUUUUGUCGGUAAAGGAAAAAUGGACCCUUCUGGUAUUAAGUCUAGUUUAGUCUUAACUUAAAUCCGUUAAAUUUGCACGAAAUUAAUUUGAAUCCUCGUCAUAUUCUUACGAAUAAGUUCAUCAUAAUAGUCCAGAGAUUGAACAUGAAUUUCCAAUCUUUAAGAAAAUCUAGAUUUAUACAUUUGCGAGAUAUUUUUGGGUGCGUCCAUUUUAAGUCACAAUCAAUGAGUCAUAAAUGUUUAUUAUAUAUUUUAAAACUUCAUAUUUCCAGUUUAUAUAAUUUUUCUUUAUGAAAAUUUAUGUCGUUAGAGCUGAAUGAAAAAUUAUAAUAAUUAAUAUACGACAAGAUAUAAAGUCUACAAAUUUAAUUGAUCAUAAGCUCAUGAAAUAACAAAGUAAAAUUUAAAAUUAAUAUCAAUUUUAGGUGAUAAUAUCGAGACAGUUUAGACAAUACACUGUUCAAUUGCAUGUUAAUUGCUUUAGAGACGUUGGAACGUGUAAACAAAAGUUUAUGACACUUUCGUGGUAACUUUCAAUAGUACUAAGAUGUUAAUAUAAAUGAUCGCAAAGAAUUUAAUGAACACACAACGUACAGAGAUAAUUAAUGAUAAGAAUGAUAGAAAAGUUUGCGUUUGUAUUAAAAUGCUAGAAAGCUUGCAUGAAAAAUGCUCAGUGAUUUUGAAAGAACUAUUUCUUACAUAGAAGCAGAAAGAAAAUCUUGAGAGAUUUGGUACACGAGAAACCGAUUCAAUAACGCUGUUACACCAUUUUGUCUGGGUUGCAGGGCAUAACAGUUCGUGUGACGCGAAAGCGCAGAGAAGCACGUGGACAUGGACAGGCACGUACGUGGCAUUUCUUUUAGUAGAAUAGAUGACUCGCGUCACAAGUUUGCAGCGUAAUCCAUUGUUACGAACUUAUGGAAAAAUAUGCGAUGAAUAAGAUAGGUUUGAUCAAGAUUGUCACAAUCUUUAAGUCCGUAAUCCGUAACUGUACUGGGAUCCAACGAAUCUGAGACGCUCCGCAAAGACCUAUGAUGAAUGAUGCAGAGGAGGGAUGGACAAAAUUACUUGGCACAGCUUGCAUUGAAGCACUGACCGUGAUUAAUGAUAAUAAAUGAGAAACGGUUUAUCUCGCUAGGCCGAGCAGAAUUACCGGUAGAUUUAUAAAAAUUGUAAAUAGGUUUCCAAAACUCCAUGCAUAGUUUUAUGUAAAAUGAUCUAUGAUAUAAGAAAUAAAAUUAUUACAGAUAUGGAGAUAUAAGGGUACUUUUCUGUAAUAUUGUAAAAUAUACAAAUUUAUAAAUAAUAAAUUUUAUACAA
rnacentral:lncRNA from 1 species